rnacentral:rRNA from 1 species
AACGAACGCUGGCGGCAUGCCUUACACAUGCAAGUCGAACGGUAACGGGCCUUCGGGUGCCGACGAGUGGCGAACGGGUGAGUAAUGUAUCGGAACGUACCUUUCAGUGGGGGAUAACGUAGCGAAAGUUACGCUAAUACCGCAUAUUCUGUGCGCAGGAAAGCAGGGGAUCGCAAGACCUUGCGCUGAUUGAGCGGCCGAUAUCAGAUUAGCUAGUUGGUGAGGUAAAGGCUCACCAAGGCGACGAUCUGUAGCGGGUCUGCGAGGAUGAUCCGCCACACUGGAACUGAGACACGGUCCAGACUCCUACGGGAGGCAGCAGUGGGGAAUCUUGGACAAUGGGGGCAACCCUGAUCCAGCCAUGCCGCGUGAGUGAAGAAGGCCUUCGGGUUGUAAAGCUCUUUCGGCCGGGAAGAAAUCGUAUCAGCUAAUACCUGGUGCGGAUGACGGUACCGGCAUAAGAAGCACCGGCUAACUACGUGCCAGCAGCCGCAGUAAGAC